AAGGUUGAGAAACAAUUCUUAUUUAAAUUUUUUACAAAAAUACAAAUUGUUUGCGUAAAAUUUUCAUUGUCUAUUUACUUUUGUUUUUUGUCACUUAAAAUUAUCUAAUUAAUUUAUAAAUAAUUAUUAUUGUUACUAUGAAAUACUUACCUGAGUGUUAAUGAUGCUCAUAUUCAUCUAUAUAUAUAAAGUUGAUUUUUUCCUUCUUUUGACAAGUGGCAGAGACUUUUGCGACACGUGUCAUCCAUAUAUUUGACUUAUAUUUUAGGUCCUUCUUCUUUUAGAUUAUUGCAAUUUGGCCAAAUACUUUAUAAUUGUGCACUAUCUAAUCAUUUUCGCAAUAACUAUUAUCAUAUGAAGUUUGAUAAUCUAUUUUAUUGCUUACUAAAAUUCAAUAUGAAUAACCAAAUAAAUAAAAUAAUAGAAAUAAAGUUUACAUAUUUAAUAUAUUCAUAACUAAAAAUAACAUAAUUUUUAUUUUAUUAUUUUUACCAUUUUCUAUUAUUUAAUUUACAAAUUAUAUAUUUAUUUAACUAUUAAAAAUAUAAAAUGACCAAACUAAUAAAAAUAAAUUAGAGUGCAAUACAUAAUCUAAACAUAAAACUUCCACAAUCAUAAAGAAAAAGCAAAAUACCAUAGUAAUACUAACUCAAUAAAUGUUUAGAGCUAAAAAAGAUCAACAAAGAAGACUAAUUUAUCUCAUCUUACCAUACAAUAUCUUGGCUAGAACAAGCAGAUGUCAGAAAAAUGUAAAAAGAUAAAAUAUGAGAUAAAGCAAUACCCGGAACACAAAGAAUCACGAUCCAGCGCAAAAAAACCAAAAAAGCGAGUCAAAAAAAAAAUAAUCAUCGGAAGAACAAAGUCACCACAAAACAAAAAGACACAUGUCUAAAGCACCAGCAGCACAACCACCAGCUAAUAGAUAAGAAGCACCUCAAAAACUAAACAAGUAUAUACAAGGCGCCCAUGACAACGAAGAACCACAAAACUCUGAAUAGAAUAAACCAAAGCUACAAAAGACUAGCUCCGCACACGUACACCAAGGGAUGCAUGAGAAGAAUAUAAAAAACCUUUCAAACACACAAAGCAUACACAGAGAAAAACACUAUCCAAACCUGGAGUAGCAAAUAUGGCGAAAGGGAGAGCCACUAGAGACGUGAUCAGCGAUGAAAGGUGCAAUGAGAUGAGAGAACAAAGAGAUAAAAGAGACAAAAUUAAAUCAACGAACCGUGGAGCCAUCCUCGAGCUAUGAAAAAAGACCAUAGAAGUCAGAUCACCAAAAACUAGAUCUUGAAAACCAAGACGAGGAAAGACUAUUGAUGGCAAACCAGCGACGAGGAAAACAACAUCAAUGACAACUAAACUCUGACCCAACCCAACGAGAUGUAGUUUAUAACCUUAGCCAAAAUCGAAAGGAAAAAAAAAUGACCAAUAUUGACUGAAAUAACAUACAACGCCGUAAGAAACAACCACACAACAUGGAACUAAUAUGCCUGAUCUAUGACAAAUACCAGAUAAUCUCAUAGAAAAAGAAGGUGAGGAAAACAAGAGCACAGAGGUGAGUCUUUUCCCAGUGAUGGUGAGAAACACUGCACACGGGAGAGGUAAACGAAAUACAUAGAUGGUGACGACUCAAGGUCAAAAUAUGGGGGAAAGUGCUAAAAAUAUCUAAAAAGAGUAAUGUGAAAAAAUGUGAAAAACUAAAAUCUUAGAAUCAACAAAUGCUUAAAGACAAAGUCAUUGAAAUUCAAUAUGUUUUACAUCAGAAACUCAUUUCAUCACUAACAAGUAGUAUUAUACAUACAACAACACAUUAUUAAAAAGACAACACAUCUAUACUAUUAAAGCAGGAUCUUAUUUUAAAAUUUUGGAUUAUUCCCUUGAGUUUUUAUCAUAUUUACAAGACCAUAUCACUCUUUAUUUUUAGAAUUUUGAACUAAAAUUGGCAAGAAAUAUAACAGAUUUUAUAUAUAUAUGGAAAACUAUAUAUAUGGCAUGUCAACAAUAAUUAUUAUUUUAAUAGGUUUUGGAAAAUAUAAAUAUAUUUAAAACUAUUUUCCAAAUUAUGGCAACCAAAUUUGUCUCAUCAUUUAAAAAUUCACAAUAUUAAAAUAUUAACAAUAUUUUAAUUUUGAAAAUUUUUAUACGCUCCAAGGUAUUCCCUAAAAAUACUAACAACCUAAAUAUUAAAAUAGCUUAACGUGUUUUCCUAUAUGUAUUAUUAAAGUUGAAGUACCUAUAUGAAUUAAAAUUUGAAAUAACCAUUUAAUCACAUCUACUUUCAUUUCUUUUUUACUCCUAAAUAUAAUUAAUUUUAAUAAAUGAAUUUACAAAAAAUAUGAUAAAUAUGAGUUUCCUUAUAAAUCGUAGGUAUUACAUUAAAUUACCUAAUAUUUAGCUAAUUGAAAAAGUUGCAAUCUUUCAAUCAUUUAAUACUUAACAAAAACGAUUUGUAUAAAUAGCAUAUAUAUAUAAAUAUAUAUACAAUCAUAUCUAAUUUUAAAUUUAUUUAAUAUUCUCAAAUAUUGGUUAGAAAUUAGUGUGAAUAAUUAUUUGAUUUCGUUUGAUCUAUGUGGAGGCCGGUUCACUUUCACGAUGUAAAUUUCCUACGUGUAUCAAUUUCUUACUAACUUUCUUUUAUUGUUUUUAACUAAAUUUACAUUAUUUUGAACCCGCUAAGCAUGACAACUGUAGAUACUAAAAUUUUUAUACAUGAAUUACAUUGAUUUAAUUUUCUAUUUCUCAAAAUAAAAAAUCUAAAGACCGUUUUCAAUUUUUUAGAAAUGAAUUAAACAUUUCUUAAGAAAAAUACAAUACAAAUCUAUUGUUCUAAAAACUAAAUGAUUUUGGUCACUCAAAAUUAACUCAAACCGGUUUAAAUAGAUGAUCAAUACAAUUACAUGAAUCUUAAUGGAUAACAUUAUUAAGAACUUAAAAGUAAAUGGGUUCAAACGGUCAAGACAUAAAUGUGUUUGCCAAAAAUGAUACACAUGUAAAUAAGAUGGAUCUACCAUUUGAUCAUUUUUAACAAAGAAUUUAACAAAUUUUUAUUAGAAUAUGACAAUUCAUAAUAUCCCGCGAUUUUAAAGCGCGGAUCAAAAUCUAGUAAUAUAUUAAUUUAUUAGCAACUAUUACAUAACAUAAUAAAACAUCAAAUAAUGUUAUUCACAAUAAAUACUGACCACAUAAUCAGAUCAUCUAAAUAUUAUAUUUAAGAACAAUAAAACAAUAUUAUGCGCGAAGGACGGACACCCUCCUAAUAUCUAUUACAAUAAAUUUGGUUUUUGUCACUUCUCAGCCCGCUAGCUCAGAGAAUGAUGUUUCUUUUCUUGACACUUGGUGGAAUGUCAAAAACUAACUAAAGUUGUUUCUCAUGUCUUCCUCGUUUUGUUUUAAGUCUGGGCUAUGGCCUGUAAUUUGAUUAAAUAUGUGGGCUUUCUUUUUUAAUCUGAAAAUGCCAGUUUAGAUUAGAGAUUGUUUCUUUUUGGACGUUGGAGUUGGAGAGACAGACGCCAUGGUUCUUUGCAUUUCACCGAUUCCGAAGGUCGUCUUUGUAACGUUUUCAUUUAUAGUCACUUGAAGACAUUAAUCAACCAUUAACGUCUUCUUCACCACUCCACCCACUCCCUCGAAUUAAUUAUUAACAUAAACUCCGUCGAAGUGAUGAAUUUCACGAAAAGGAACUCAUUCCUGCAAAUAGGCAAGUUUCUCUGCGUUAUUCUCAUCACUGCACCAUACUCGAUAUUUCCUUUUGCUUCAAAUCAUAGUAAUCCACAAUGGCGCCAUUGCAGGUUUCGCAUUCUGAACUGAAGACUGGUGAAGAAGACGUUAAUGGUAUUUGCUUAAGUCUACGUUCCAUUCUAUUUUUGAAGGCAGUUCUAUAUCGUAAUCAGACUAUGGAGAGGCUUCGUGAUCCUUGCUGACUCCGCCGAGGAGAACGAUCUCAGGUGCUGCUCCCCGCACAAUCCCGAGAGGCUUUCUUCGACCUGCUGAGAGGAAUGACACAGAAGAUGAUCCUCCUGCAAAGUAGAGACUUUCUUCCGCCGUUGUUAAGGAGACUCAAGUUGAAGACCUGAAGGUAAAGAUCAAAGUGACAAGAAGCUAUAUGGCCAUCAUCCUUGAAGUUGGUCCCAGAGGGAUGGUGAACAACGAGGGACCAAGAAGGUUUAUGAAUCUAUGACAUUGCCUGAGCCUGCACCAAGGCAUUUUCCUAAGAAGAAGGAUCCUAAGAUGGUUAAUAGGAGCAGAAGAAUGCUGGUUAAUAAGAUCUAGAAGAUAUAUAAUGGGCAUACGUCUAUUUUUCUUGUGCGGCUUAAAUAGACAAUGAAACUGAUUAAACAUAUAAAUGUGGUCGAAAUCAUCAGGGCUCUUACUGACUAUGUUUCCAUUACGUGAGAUAACGACAAGAUCACCAUAACGUCACCACCGAUUCCAACUUCUCCAAACUAUGAAUUACAAUUUCAUUUUGAGGUACUUCAAAUAUCUGACCAAAAAUAUUUUAGAAAGUAAAAUCUCCGUUAUUGGCUUUGCGUGAUUGCUUUGGAAAAAGACGGACCGGUGUGACCUAUAAGAUACUUAAACCAUAUAAUAAGUUUUCUUUCUUAGUUUUAUUGCAGUACUCAGGACAAUUUGCUUCAUUUUCUUUCUCUGUUUACUUGAAAGAAGAGGCUGGAUCUGUUUGAGAAGUUUCACAAGCUGCAUCUUCCUCACACUCUCUUUCCGUCUCAUCCUUUCCAUCUGCGGCUUCCUCCUCAUCAUCCUCCACGCCACCACCAUCGCAGCCUCGGCUCCGGCUGCACCGCUUCUUCCUGCGGCAGAAUCCGUUGGUAGCUAACAAGGUCAACACUGUGCUCACAGCUAUAUUCCAAGGAUCUGUCUCUGUUCUCAUCUUCACCAACACGUCUAACUUCCUCGGGAGUCUCAUGUCGUAUGUCCGGGAUGAAGAUUCUGCUGCGAUUUUGAAACUCGGUGGUGGGCUUUGUAUUGUGAUGUUUUGUCUUGAUUGAGUCGUGUUACUGUUGGAUUUCUUCUUGAAGUAUUAAGCUUAUGUCGACAGCGGUGAUUGUCGUGGAGGGGUUGCGAUGAAGAAAAGUGGUAAGGUGCAGAAUGAUGAGAAUCUAAGGAUUGUCCAUUGGCCCAUGGCCGUUCCAAGUUUGAAGUUAGUGUCUAGUUUUCUUGUGUUGUUGAUAGCAUAUCAGUAUCAAAGUUUAGUUUUUUAUCUGUGUUUUGUCGGUUAUAUUGUGAUUUGUUGUUGUAUCUGUCAUUGAUUGACUACA